rnacentral:misc_RNA from 1 species
GGGAUAUACAAAAUCUUAGACCAAUAUUUCUAGCAAAAGCAAUAAUAUUUUUGGGAUAUACAAAACCCUCAUGCAUUCUCAUUUCGGAAUUAAUAGAUGAAAGGCAAUGGUAACAAGGACAUGUAGGUCAGCUUAUUGUGGUGACAAAAGUACAGGACUAUCCCUUAUUUUUCUUAUUUUACUUAUAGUACUGUUUCUUAGAGAUUCCAGAGGCAUUCCUUUAGAAGCAUCAUGCCAUCUGACUAUAUGUUAACACUCAUCAGUAUUCUUCUAUCUAAAAUCAAAAGUUUCAAACUACCAUAACACCAACUAAACAAUCUAGACACAGCCUAUAUUUAGUUCUCAGAGAAUGGAAAAGGGAAAGGGGAAAGAGGAGAAAAGGAGGGAGGGACACAAGAAUCUAGGACUUUAUUGCAAGGUUUUGAAUCCAAAGAAAUCAAAGGCUAAGUUUAUUCCUUACCAUUAACUA